AUACACAUUCUCAAAUAUAGUUUUAGUUCUUAGUAGUGAAGAAAUACUAUUCCGGUGAUUCAUAUAUUCCGGGUAGUACACAAAACAUUCCGGCAAGGAGAGAAGCUAGGACUCAAGAGUGUUCAUUAAGUCUUCCGGUACCAACUAAAGCUUUGGUUUCCAGGGAUCGGUGCUCCUCCUCGUUCUCCUCCACGUGGCUAGUUGAUAUUCCAUUGAAGACUACUUUUGGUGAGUUCCCAUGUUCCGGGAACAAUACUCCUUUGUCUUUCUAGCUUAUGAUAUGUUAAGAUAUUUUAUUAUGACAUUUCUUCUAUUAUGAUUGAGGGUGAGCUAGGAACUUGUCUUAGCCCCAUUAAAUCUAAUAGUUAGAGGUAUUGUUGGACAUAUGUAAGUUGAAGAUUUAUUAUUAUUAUGA